AAGAAAUAAACUAGCUUUCAUUAUAUACAUGCAGCUAUUACAAUAAGACAAAGACACAAUAUCUAUAUAAUGUAUUGAAUAUGAUAAUGAUAAUAAUUGAGCUGCAACAUGAGAAAACCAACAUAGUGCAUUUGUGACCAGUAUGGAUCCAGACCAGCCUGCUGUUUGAAAGUGAACAGCAUGGAUCCUGACAAGACUGUGUGGAUGCGCAAACUGGUCUGGAUCCAUGCUGGUCGCAAAUGCACUAUGUUGGUUUUGUCAUAUGGUACGGCUCAAUUAUACCCUUAUAUAUUGAUACUGCUAAUCCAAAUAAUUCAAAAUAAUUGUUAUAUCGUCUGCUUUCUGAUCAUUAUUUUCAUAGCAGAAACUGAGUGAAAAUUUACAGUAGCAAAAGCUUCACCGAACCUUGAAUUAGCAUCUUCAAAUUUUGGAAAUCCUCUUAUAACCUCAAAAAUAUUCAUUUUUUUAUGCAAACUAUAUAUAUUUAAUCUUCUUGUCGUUCGUGAUUACACUGUCAGACUCAAAGGGGUCCAGCACAUGAGUUGAUUAAGUUUAAUGACUUAGUUUUGAGUCCUAGAGCCUUAAUUAUGAAAAACAAUUCAUACUAAUAUAACUACUCCCUAGUCGUCUAGGGAGUAGUUAUAGUUUUGUCAUAUGGUACGGCUCAAUUAUACCCUUAUAUAUUGAUACUGCUAAUCAAAAUAAUUCAAAGUAAUUGUUAUAUCGUCUGCUUUCUGAUCAUUAUUUUCAUAGCAGAAACUGAGUGAAAAUUUACAGUGGCAAAAGCUUCACCGAACCUUGAAUUAGCAUCUUCAAAUUUUGAAAAUCCCCUUAUAACCUCAAAAUUAUUCAUUUUUUUAAGCAAACUAUGUAUAUUUAAUCUUCUUGUUAUUCGAGACUACACUGUCAGACUCAAAGGGGUCCAGCAUAUGAGUUGAUAUUAAGUUUAAUGACUUAGUUUAGUCUAGGGAGUAGUUAUAUUAGUAUGAUUUUUUUCAUAAUUAAGGCUCCAGGACUCAAAAAUAAGUCAUUAAACUUAAUCCACUCAUGUGCCGGACCCCUUUGGUCAGACCAGUAGCUGUAUAUUUAAUGAAUUACAUAUCACUGAUGCACAUGCUGUACUGAAAAAGGGAAAAAAAUGAAUGAUUCAAUGGAUUCAUUAAAUUAAUAUAUAGUACUAGAAGAUUUACUGCAAACCCUCUUUGAUUCUCCUUUACAUCAAUGACCCACCAAUACAAGUUUCAUCUACUUCAUAUUUGUUGGCAGAUGAGUCUCUCGGCUUGCACUGAAGCAGGCUUUACAGUAACCCAUACGAAAAAGAAAUUUAAUAAAAGGUCAAUAAAAGGCAAACAAAGGGCUAGCAAAAGGUACUUCUAUGUUUUGUUAAAACCUUUUAUAAGCCUUUCAUUUAACAAAAUACUAACAAAAGACUAUUAAGGAUUUUGUGAGUAAUACAUUUUGUUUACCUUUUGUUUCAGAUACUGCCUUUUAUUAAUGUUUCAUUACACUUAUAAUUUGAAAUUUACCUUUUAUUAGCAUUGGAUUGGACUUAUAUUCUUAAAUGUUGCCAUUUGUUUGUAUUUCAUUCCACUUAGAAUCAACACUUACAUAUUUUGUUUGUAUUUCAUUACACUUGCUUUCAAAAACAAGAAGUUUUGUUCAUAUUUCAAUACAUUUGUAGGUUUGGACGACUUGUUUCACAAAAUCUAGCAUAAACAAAUUAGUUUCAUAUUUCAUUGAUAUUGGCUAAAUACUGCUGCUGCUGUUUUGAAUUUAGAGCUACAUCUACCAUUCACUAUGUUCUUCAUAUACAUAAUUACACUUCUGACGAUUGCAAAGGUUUGUCAGUAAGUAAAUGGCUACUGAGCACUUGCAAAUGCAUAAUAUUCUUUAUCAUACAUAAUCAGCUUUAAGAGAGACAAUCUAUAAACAGAGACCUGUGACUUAUAAUAAUUAAAACUUCUCCUGAAAAAACAAUUCCAAUGUUUUUCUCAUUCCAUAGAAUUCCUUAGAAUUUUUUAAGAUAAUGCAAAGUUUUCCUAGUAAAAUUUUUUUUAUUUAAAUUGCAGCAAAGAUUACAUUGAAAAUCUUAAGAUUUGUUUGGAUUAUACUAGGUAUCCAAAUUAAUUGAAAUAUAACAAGGAAUCUAACUAAUUAAAAUUUAUGUCAAUGUUUUCAUUUUGUAUAUUAAAAGGAUGUUAAUUAGAAUUCUAUCAUUUUAUUUAUAAUUAACAUAACAAGAUAUAUCAUUGAAAAUAGGUCCUAUUUAUAAAUUAUAUAAGCUAUUUAUUUUUUGGUUAUUGAACACCUCAAACAACAGCACCAGAUAAUAGGCAUUAAAAGUCAUUUCAUAAGUACAACUAAUUGUAAAUGAUGUUAUGCUUUUGAUAUAAUGUUACAUCCUCGUAAAUGAAUUAGUCUAUUCUUUUGAUGAUUGGCAAUGAUUAAUUAUCCUGCUUUUACAGCCACUUGAUAUACUGCUGUUCAAUGUAUACACAUGUGUUAACACACAGAGAUACAGCUUAUCUGAUCAAGAUAAGGACCAAUGAAAAUACAGGCUUCUGAACCGUUUUACACCUGUACACCAAAAAAUAAUCCCCAUCUUUCUGCUUGUUUUUUUUUUCUCUGAGAUCUUUGCAAAUGCUGUGAGCAAAUAAAUGGUCAAAUUUUCCCAUGAACUGUAUACUUAUAUAUUUUAAGAACAUAGAUAUUCCCUUCAGUAACUAUAUAUUGUACCAAAGAAAAUGGCUCAUGAAUACAAAAAUUUGAAUGUAAACAGGAAGUUCGUUGUUCAUGUUGUUGGAGGCAAAUGGAAUAAAGCUAACUUGAAACUCUAAAAUGCUUUUAGAGAGAUAUCAGAUGAAAGAGUGUGCAUAUAUAUCUAUAGUUAUUAGAGGUAUAUGCCUAUAUGUAUGAAUUGAUGUAGUUGGAGAAAUCAGAUCGCUUCAGUGCAUGACUAUGCUACAGAAUGAUACAAGAUCACAGACAGAAAUUCGAUCAAGGAUCAAACAUAAAUUACAUAAUACUUCAACUAAAUUAAAUGCAUGGCUGGAAUGAAGUUCCUGACCCUGGUGAUGAUUUUGGAAAAGCAAAGAGACAUUCUGAUGCUACCUUGUAUUGAGCCUGCAAUACUCCAAAAUGAUUUUGUUGUAUUCAUAAUUUUCUAUCAAAUAAUCUUUUAGUUUAAUUUUCAAAUUUAAGCUAAGUGAAUUUUUAUUAUUCUUAACCACAAGCGUAAAAGCCGCUGGCAGAUGUGUUAUUCCCCUUUGAAUUUUAUUCUUUUUGUUUUUUAUGAAACCCAGAUCUGUCUCAACAUUAGAUUAAAAUAAUUUUGUAAUGAUACUAUUUCUUCUUUUUUUGUUUUGUGUCAAUAUCAGCGAUGUUUUCCAAUGGUUUUCCAUCAAACCUUUCCAAACUUUUGCAAAGAAUUCUUCUAAAAAAUUCCUUCAACUUUAAUGCGAUGAUUUCCAAUGUUCAAAGAGUUCCAUGGACUUUCAACUGCAUUUUCACAGGGCUGCUCCCAUGGGUAUGUGAGUUUAAAUUUAAAUUAAUUUUCAGACUUUUUUUUUCAUGCCGUUUUUCCAAACUUUUCCAUGGAACAUGUACAGACAGGUGUUUUUGUGACAUAAACACUUUCUAAUUUUAAUUUAUAUUUGGGAUCAUGCAAGAUAUCUGGACAGUUUUUUUUUAAUUCAAAAUCAAGAAUUUAUUUAAUUCGGCAAAACAAACAUUUUGGUUAUCUUACAGUAUUUGUUCAUUGCUGUGAAAUUGAUAAUUGCAUGCAUUUAAAUAACUUUUUACAUUAUUCUUUUGAUCAUAAAUAUAUGUAUAAAAAUGUAUAUAUUGAUUUGUCAGUAGUGUUUGAUUAAUGUGUUCUUACGAAAACUUAAAUAAAAGGCAAUUGAUGAUAUACCUUUUAUUUAUGUUUUGAUAAAAGGUCUCUCUGCCUUUUAUUCAUAUUUUGUUUCCUAUAUUUUAUUUGCAAUUUGUUUCUCAUAUGUAAUGAAUGUGAAUGCCUUUUGUUAGUAUUUUGUUACUACCUUUUAUUCAUGUUUUGUUUCUUUGAAACAAAAUAUUAAUAAAAGGUCUCUCUGCCUUUUAUUCAUAUUUUGUUUCCUAUAUUUUAUUUGCAAUUUGUUUCUCAUGUAAUGAAUGUGAAUGCCUUUUGUUAGUAUUUUGUUACUACCUUUUAUUCAUGUUUUAUUUGCCUUUUGUUAUCUCAUUUGCAUAUCAUUUGCUAGGCUAAUAAAAGGUCUUCAAAACAUAACAU
rnacentral:lncRNA from 1 species